AAAAAGCUGUUUGCCUCUUCUGUGCAUCCUGGAGUUGCGUGGCGUCAGGAGGCCAGUGGAAGUCUUAGUCUUACCUGUAAUAAACCAGAGUUGCUGACCUGUGGAGUCUGAGGCAACACGCAGAGUAGGAGACAGGACACCAGCCAUCUUCUGUAUAGCCCACACAGCUUGCCUAUCCUGAGAAGAGAGGCAUGAGAGAUGGCUGGAAUUUGCUUCCCUUGAGACUUCUUUCCCCGCAUCUUUCCCUAAUGAAGUAUAAGUCUAUGGGAAGAGUUUAACUAAAUGCCUGCCCUUUCACACAGGAAAUCUGUUUUCUUCCUAGUCUUCAGAUGCGCAGUGGUUGACGCCAGAGGAGAGGAGCCAGCUUAUUCCUGACUUGAAAGCAGCAGGGUGGUCGGAGUUGAGCGAGAGAGACGCCAUCUACAAAGAGUUCUCCUUCAAAAAUUUUAACCAGUUUCAGGGCCUGUGUGAUGAUGUCAAGUGAUGUUGGGGACGCUGGUGCUGCUGUCCACUGAGGAAGGGGGCUGCAGCCGAUGGCAUUGUCUUGGGGCUCUUGAUUCCGCUGUUCGUACCAGGUUUGUUUAUGUGUGCGAGCGUUUUGUGUAGGUAUGGUAACUGGGCAUGCCUGGUGCCUGCAGCCCUCAGAAGAGGACCUCAGAUCGUCCGGGAUUAUAGUUACAGAUGACUGUGAGCCACCGUGUCAGUGCUGGGGACCGAACCUGGGUCUUCUUGGAGGAGCGGCUGGUGCUAUAACCACUAGCACCUCUCCAGCCCUUGCUGCUUCAGUCCUUGAGCUGCCUUCCACGUCGAUGUCACCCUUUACCUCGUUUUGAGGCUAAACAUUUGCGUCCUGGUGCUUUGGUGUUGACUCUUCGAAGUCAGAGCUAAAAAGGAGGAGAGGACCAGGACCUAGGAGUGGUGGGCUUUGCCAUGGCGACGGAAGCACAGGGACAGGAGGAUGAGAGUAAGUACAGCUGAGGGCUGUGCAGAAUGUCACUACAACGACUCGCCCAAGGCCCUCUGUCAGGAUAUGGAUACCUUGAGUUCAGAGGCUUGUGUGUGCCUCCCACUGAACCCAGCAUUACCUGGGUGUGUUAUUCGGUCCACUAAGGUCAGUGCCAUUAAUCCCUGGUGAGCCUAACCUUUUUCUCCUUUUUGUCCCUUAAAAGUUUCACUAGGGACUUUUGCUGCCCACCUACCCCUAAUGACAGAUGAUUUCUGAGAGUGAUGGACUUCUCUGGCUGCUAAGUGGCUCUGUGGUGGGAUGGGCAGCGGUCAGUAGUGCUGUGAGGAAUGAACUUCCCUGAACAGGGUUGAUGCCUUUAAUUUACUCAGUGUACUGGCUUCCCAGCUGCAGCCCCAGUCUGUAGUGAAUAUUGGUGAUCUGUGGGCCUGUGGUAUGCUCUUCCAAGAUCCUACAAAGUGCCAUGCUGGGGGCUGACACAGGGUGGUUUAUCUGCCAGCCAGUAGGUAUUCAUUCUCAUCCCACAUACUCUCCGACCUUAAAAAAAAAAACAAGAUUUAUUUUAUGUGAGUGCUCUCUGCAUGUACACCUGCAGGCCAGAAG
rnacentral:sRNA from 1 species